rnacentral:rRNA from 1 species
GGAUCAUUACUGAGUUAGGGUCUCAAGCCCGACCUCCUAUCCUUUGUCAAAAUACCACGUUGCUUCGGCGGGCUUUAGACCGUCGAUAGCCUCCUUAUAAACUCGGAGAAAUGUGUCGUCUAAAACAAUGCGGGAGCAAUCCUGAAAUUAAACAAAACUUUCAACAACGGAUCUCUUGGUUCUGGCAUCGAUGAAGAACGCAGCGAAAUGCGAUAAGUAAUGCGAAUUGCAGAAUUUCCGUGAGUCAUCGAAUCUUUGAACGCACAUUGCGCCCUUUGGCAUUCCGAAGGGCAUGCCUGUUCGAGCGUCAUUAUCACCCUAAACAUCUAGUUUAUGUUGGGUUAAAUUUGCUUCAAAUUGACCUCAAAGAUAAUGACAGCGUCUGACGACCGUAGAUGCAACGAGCUCUCUCUCCGCACGCAUCGAAGCGUCGUGGGAACCUGUCGUACCUAUCA